rnacentral:lncRNA from 1 species
AGGAAACAAAAUCCCACCGCCGCCACGUCUAGUCGGGUCUUCUCUCCUCGCUCCCUUCCAUGACGGCCGGCGGAGCUUUUUUGUUUUAUUUUGGUUUUUUGUUUUCUCACAGCUUGCCUGUCAAAGUUCUGCGCCCUCCGUCCACCCCGGGUGCGCGGCCCCUCAAGGCGCCGCGACCUCUCUCGAGGAGAGGCGAGGGAAAAGCUACCCCGCAAGGUGGAACGCGCGCUUCCGGCGCGCGGAGGAAUGUGUAAUGCCUCGGAGAGCAGAGGUACUGCUUCCGGUAAGGGGCUUCCGGUUCCUCUUUGUGUCGGGGGUGGGGACACGAACGCAAGGUGGGCCCCUCCGUGGCUAGUCGGCCGGGUUUGUUCGUUCUCCGAGACCUGUUUUUAACAUCGUUGUCUAGGUUUGGACAAGUGACGAACUCUUGGCCGAGUUUCCGCGUCUCCGUUUCCUUCUUUCGAAUGCUAGUCUUGUACAACUCGUUUCGCUCGGUCGCCUUCGUACGGGUUUCUCGCUUCUCCGUGACCAAUAGGUUUCAGCCCAAUUCCGUCAUUACAUGGGCCGGCCUUCACCACCAGCUGCGACUUGCUUUUUCUCACGACACUGGGAACCUACCCAUAGAGGGCCUGGCCUUGCUAGUCUAGCUGUUGGCAGCCAUCCCGAAACCGUAUUUGAGUAGUAAGCAGGGCCUGAAAACGCUUGCUUUGUAACCAACCCAUUUCAGUUUGGUAUGAAACUGGUCACCUUGUCAGAAACCUCUACUUGGAAGGCCGGGCAUAGUUGCACACGCAUAGAGUUCCGAUCAGCAAUGGCUGGUUUAAAAAAAAAAAAAGCCACGUUUCUGGUAUACGGUCCUACAGUUCCUUUAUGCGUCUAAGCCUGACUCUACAAGGUUGAAGGCAAGAACCGGCUCCAAAGUUAUCCUGUGCCCUCCACAUCCAUAUACCUUUAUGGUGAUGAAGGUAGAUGCUUUAGGGGCAGUUCGAGCUGCAUAUGAAUUUGAGGCCUGAUUAGGCUACGGGAGACCUUGUAAGUAAGGAAAAUCCCUGUGUGGUGGCUCAGGACUAUAAACUCAAUUCUGGGGAAGGAGAUGUAGAAAGAGCACCAUAAGGCCACAUGGUACACUUAUCGAGUUCCAGAAUGGUCAAGAAUACGGGGUAAGGGCCAGAACAGUGGCUCAGCUGUGAAGGGCACUUGCCACCAAGCUUGAAAUCCUAAGUUUGAUUCCUGGAACCCCAUGGUUAAAGGAGAGAACUGAAAGCUGACCUCACCUUCACGCCAGGUCCACAUACAUUCAUCUACAAAUUCACACAUUAAGUAAUCAAAGGCUGGGGGGGUUGGAGUGGGGGGGUGGCUAUCAGGUAAAACGCUGACUCAUAAAUAAAGGUUCUAUUCUGCUAGUCAGGAUCAGGAAUGCAAGGAAAUGGACUCAGGCUAGUUUGUUCAAUUACUUUCUGUACUAGAAAUUGAACCCAAGUCCUUGAACAUAUUAGGUAAAUGUGUCCUGAGCUGUAACUCCAGUAUAGUCUCCAUUUCUUGCUUAAAGAAAAAAGGGAAAAAGUGAUAUACAGAGAAAAAAUGGACAUAGGAAGGUAUGAUGAAUUAUAUACAAUUACUAAAAUAUUUUAUAACAAGACUUAGGUCAUUUAGCAUUUAAUCUGAAAAAAAAAGAACUAUGCACAUCAAAAGAGAAAUAGUAAAAUUCAAAAGACUGUUUUAAAUUUUUGUGUUUGUUUUUCAAGACAAGGUUUCUCUGUAGAGCCUUGGUUGUCCUGGACCUCUCUGUAGACCAGACUGGCCUCUGACUCCCAGAGAUACCCCUGCCUCUACCUCCCAAGUGCUGGGAGGAGCAAAGGUGUGCACAACUGUACCUGGUAUACUUGAAAAUUUAAAACUCAUCAAAAGUUCUUUCAUUACAUACGCAAUCAAAAUAUAUUGUUAUUUGGCUGGGGAUGGAGCCUGAAGGAUCACAACUCCAAGAUCAUCCUCAGCUGUCUGUGUCAAGGCUGCCCUGGG